rnacentral:lncRNA from 1 species
GAGUAUUAAUAGAAUGAACUAUUAUACAAUAUUAUGUGAUAUUACAAUAUUAAUAAUUAUUUCAUCCUCUUUCCUUUAACAUCCUAAAUUAUUAUUUUAAGUUAAUUACUUUUAAUACAAGUGUUAUAGUAAUAAAAGGAAUAAAUAUAAUUUUAAAAAAGUAACAUAUCCUUUUAAAAAAAAAAUUCAGAAAAUUAUUACGACAUAAAACGCAAGUUUCCAAAAAUAUGAUGUAAAGAAACUAUUAUCUAUUACAAUAUAUAAUUUAUUGUUAUUGAUAAUUAGCCUAAGUUAUAACCAUAAUUUUUUGUGCCCACUUAGGAUUUAUUCUUGUAUAGAAAAUAUCAUCAUACAAAUUUUACUGUACAAUUCAUUUUUGUCACAUCAUCCUAUUUAAACGUCAACACUAGGUGAAGUGAACAGACAAAACACCUGCAAAAACCGGUAAGUAAACCACCCGAUCCCCCUUUCCACCCACAGUUUUUUAAAGAUUUUUCAUCCAAAAACCAGCCUAUUUAAGUCUGCACAUCGAUACCUAAAAGGUUGUCUUUGCAAUGAAAGAUUAUUUCGAGUGCGCAUUACAAAUUUUAAUUUACAAUAGACACCAAUUUUGUUAAUCUAGUUGGCAUAAUAUCGUCAGUUAGAUCACCGAUUUGUUGAUUAACCAGGCUAGAAAUUGCAUACAGGAGAACAAAUCCAAAUCAUUUGGGCAAAAAUUGACAAACUAAGAUUCAAUCCUAUUUUGGAUUUAAAGUAAUUUGUACAAGAGUAUUCACCAAUCUAAGUACUACUAGUGUGUCCCCAUUUCUGCAAAUCUUCUUGCAGCUUUGUGAACAUUUCUCCACAACCACAACCAGCGAAAAACAGGAAACCCCCCAAAAAAGAAAAAAAAAAA